rnacentral:rRNA from 1 species
AGAGUUCGAUCCUGGCUCAGGAUGAACGCUAGCGGCAGGCCUAACACAUGCAAGUCGAGGGGCAUCACGAGGUAGCAAUACUUUGGUGGCGACCGGCGCACGGGUGCGUAACGCGUAUGUAACCUACCUAUAACAGGGGCAUAACACUGAGAAAUUGGUACUAAUUCCCCAUAAUAUUCGGAGAGGCAUCUCUCCGGGUUGAAAACUCCGGUGGUUAUAGAUGGACAUGCGUUGUAUUAGCUAGUUGGUGAGGUAACGGCUCACCAAGGCAACGAUACAUAGGGGGACUGAGAGGUUAACCCCCCACACUGGUACUGAGACACGGACCAGACUCCUACGGGAGGCAGCAGUGAGGAAUAUUGGUCAAUGGACGCAAGUCUGAACCAGCCAUGCCGCGUGCAGGAAGACGGCUCUAUGAGUUGUAAACUGCUUUUGUACGAGGGUAAACUCACCUACGUGUAGGUGACUGAAAGUAUCGUACGAAUAAGGAUCGGCUAACUCCGUGCCAGCAGCCGCGGUAAUACGGAGGAUUCAAGCGUUAUCCGGAUUUAUUGGGUUUAAAGGGUGCGUAGGCGGUUUGAUAAGUUAGAGGUGAAAUCCCGGGGCUUAACUCCGGAACUGCCUCUAAUACUGUUAGACUAGAGAGUAGUUGCGGUAGGCGGAAUGUAUGGUGUAGCGGUGAAAUGCUUAGAGAUCAUACAGAACACCGAUUGCGAAGGCAGCUUACCAAACUAUAUCUGACGUUGAGGCACGAAAGCGUGGGGAGCAAACAGGAUUAGAUACCCUGGUAGUCCACGCAGUAAACGAUGAUAACUCGUUGUCGGCGAUACACAGUCGGUGACUAAGCGAAAGCGAUAAGUUAUCCACCUGGGGAGUACGUUCGCAAGAAUGAAACUCAAAGGAAUUGACGGGGGCCCGCACAAGCGGAGGAACAUGUG